rnacentral:tRNA from 1 species
GGGCUCGUGGUCUAGACGGUUAUGACGUCGCCUUGACACGGCGGAGGUCCUGAGUUCGAAUCUCAGCGGGCCCA